rnacentral:rRNA from 1 species
UGGGGGAUAUUGCGCAAUGGGGGAAACCCUGACGCAGCAACGCCGCGUGAAGGAAGAAGGCUUUCGGGUCGUAAACUUUUGUCUUUGGGGAAGAAUAAAUGACGGUACCCAAGGAGGAAGCCACGGCUAACUACGUGCCAGCAGCCGCGGUAAUACGUAGGUGGCGAGCGUUGUCCGGAUUUACUGGGUGUAAAGGGCGUGUAGGCGGGUAGGUAAGUCAGAUGUGAAAUACCGGGGCUCAACCCCGGGGCUGCAUUUGAAACUAUUUAUCUUGAGUGCUGGAGAGGAAAGCGGAAUUCCUAGUGUAGCGGUGAAAUGCGUAGAUAUUAGGAGGAACACCAGUGGCGAAGGCGGCUUUCUGGACAGUAACUGACGCUGAGGCGCGAAAGCGUGGGGAGCAAACAGG